CUCGGAAACCUGACACUGGAAGCAUCUUAGAGACACAGGGAAUAUUUCAUUACACUACCAACACAGACAAGACUUUCCCAUUCUUCUAGUCGUCUACAUCAUAAUUCGAAAAACUGAGACCCUAUGCGUGAAACAGACAGUCGCCUCGAGGGUCAUGCUAUUACCUAUAUAUCAUUGCUUCAUCUACAUUCUCUUCUCCUUUAGCUGAUGCACACACAGCGUAACCAAAGGUAAGUCGCAGGAGAAAAUUGGAAGACGCUUUAGGUCGUGUGCAUAUAAGGUAUUUUCACCAAGUUUGCCACAAUCUGGCACGUUGAGGUGCAUCAGCUAGGUCCUCCUGUCGAACUCGCGAAACCAAACAGAAGAUUAUCAAUCGUACUGAAAUCAAUCGACAAGGUCUAUUCAUACGGGCACAUUACAAACAGGAAAUUAACAACUCAGAGUUUGAAGAGAGAACGCUACAAAUCGAGUGACAGAAUCAGGAACCGACGCUCGUCCGUGACGCUCUGAUCCAGCUAGCGAAAUAUAUACUGCGGAAGAGUUAACCUCAAAAUUAGGGCUAGGAUUUUACUGUUGCGAUUUGAAAUUGAUUCCGAUGCUGCCACGUUCUCAUGAUGAAAAAUGAAGAUCAACGAAUGAUAACACUACGAGUAUAACAUUCAUUCAUUUCUAAAUUAGGGUUUAGUUUCUGGCUUGCGAAUACCAGCGUCGAAUUGUUGUCGUCAAUGUUUUUCGGGAGCCUUGAAUUUGGAGCAGAGGUUGUGUGAAUCAAGUGAAUUGUCUUGUGGAAAGAAGGAUUCUGUGUUUUGGCUGAAUGUGUCUUGGCUGAAGUUUUUUAGUUUUUAGAGAUUUUAAUUAUGGAAGAUGGCAAGGAGAAGAGGGAGCGGGACACGAGUCGAGUGGACUCUCUGGGAUGGCUCACAGAGUCCGCUGUUAUGCCCAAAAAGCAGCGGGUGAUAGAAGGAGUGGGACCUUCGUCGAUUGUAGAGCUGCGGGCGCAACUAUAUCGGACGCAGGAAGAUGUGAAGCGAGCCAAGGUGCUUGGAGUUGACCCGGAUGUGUUCCGACCUAAAAAGAAGGUUGAUGUGUUGUCGAAGAAGAACUCUGGAGUUGAGGAUCGGGCUUCCAGGUUUGCUUGUCCUUUCACCCUGUAUUCCUGUUUUUUUUUUGCUUGUUUGUUUGAUUUCUUCUGUUUUUUGUGUCUUUUUCCUUCUUCUUUUUUUUUCUUUUUUUUUUCUUUUCUUUUCUUUGUGAAUUUGUCCGUAUCAAAGAUAAUUGAGUUCCUGUCUGGAGGAAUUCUCUACUACGGUUAAGGUUAUAAAGAAUAGUAGAUGCUUUGACACAUGUGCAGUACAGACUUUGCUUUCUUUGUAUAGAGGUAGAAUUCACUAUUCUUAGCAUUCCGCAUUAUGCUUUAGCUUGGUAACGAGUAUCGAACAAUGUAUUUAUUUUUUCUACUGUUGUGUGCUAGGAUUUGUGAUUGAGGUGGGGGUCGCAUGAACUGGUAUCUGAGGGAAGUAGCUGAUGCUCGUCUACGAUACGUGGAUCUCAUUAUGUUUUGGCAUGGCUUACGAUGCAGAGAUAAGCUUCAGUUGAAAGCGUCUAAAGAUGGGGUUGAUAGCUACGCUGCUCUAGAGAAAAAAGCUGAGCUUUAUGACAAGCUUACAAGGGGCGAACUACCCGAUGAGGAAGAGAAGGAGAAGUACAGUGUCGAUUUCCUUCGCAAAGGGUCUCUGAGUGAUGAAGCUCUGGAAAUAGAGAGGGAGCGGCUAGGGGAUUCUAAACAUGACUCAAGAGAAAGCUUUGAAACUUCAGGAGUUGAUGCGGGCACGUCAGAAGCGAAACCGAUGUCGGGUGUGGGUUGGGGAUUGGGAAAAUCAACAGGUUUAAGCCAUGAGCAGAAGCAACUCAUUAGGUAUGAAUUGCUUUAUCCUUCUUCUUCUGAGGUAUCUGUCAAUGAUUCUGCUUCAUAUCCCUCGCAUGCUUUCGGAGCAUCGUGGUAGAGUAAACUUCAGUCUUUAUAUUGUAUGUUUGUACAGGCCAUUUAUUAGGAACGGCUUAGGAUUUUCUAUUUUGCUCUGUAAAACCAAUCGACUUUUGAUUAUUUAUACCGACGUAUACAUUCAUACGUACAUGAAGAAUGUGAUUACUUGUGAGUUUACUUUCUCAAGUUUCUAAGUGGAAACGGUGCUACAACUAUGUUGUUUCAGUCGUUUUCAAUCCUAAGCUUUAGGUGUUGGCUUUAACGUUGAUUUUUAUUGCAAACGUUUAUUUACGUGCAGGGAGGUGAACAUAGAAACGAAAGAAGCUCGUGAAAAAGCUAAUGAUUUGAAGCUAAGGCGGCAAAAGGAAGCCGAGAAGAAAAGGGAAAAGUUGCGACUUGCUUUCCUUAAGAAGCAGGUUGAGAAACUCAAAUCUUCCGGAGGAGCACAGAAAGGAACUAUUGCCUCUGAACCUAGCAAGGAAAAUGCAACCAAGCAAGACGGUACAUUGUCCCAUUGAAAAUCUUAUUUACUGCCCUCACCUCCUUUGAGUUCUGUGAUAUUCAAUCUGUUCCAGAAGGUCUGAAGAAUGAUCCGGAAUAUCUGUAAACUAUACCUGCAAAGAAGCGUGGACUGGAGAUGGGGCUUAUCAACUGCGUUGGACCGAUGCAGUGCAUGUCUUCUUUGUACGGAUGAUUCCGAAAACCAUCUCAAAGAUACUCGCCUACGAGUGGUAAUCUUUGUCCUGAAUGUGAACUGAAAGAUAUAGGGAUUGCAUUGAAUGCAGAAUAUCACGGAAGAGUAUUAUACUCUAGCUCGCAAUAGCUUAUAAGAUCCAUUCAAAGCAGCAGAGGAAAUAGAAGAUGCCUUCACUUGUGCAGGUUCCUCAAAACUAUGUACACUUGUGUAGAAUUACGAAACAAUUCUUCGUAGGAUGAAUUCAUCCUCCUUUUCAAAAGUAAGAGAAUGUGUCACUUCCACGUGCCAACCAGUAUUGAUUUUUCUCACAUAAGCUUUUUUCACACAUCUUUUAGGGCUAAAACCAGGUUGGAAAGACUUGCAAAACAUACUAGAGUACAGCCCUGUGUCCUCCCCCUGCAUGUAUGUUGGCAACUUUCACAAAAGUCAUCAAUCAUAUCAGAAGACUAUCAAUUGAAUAAUGUCUCUUCUCAAAAAUGACACCAAAUUGAAAAAGAUGUUUGAAGACAUUGUUACCCAAAGCAUGCAUUAGCUUCUGGUAUUUCAAAAUACAAGGAAUACAUCUCUAAAAUUAUUACGUAACACUAAAAAAAUAAAAAUUACAUGACAAAUACUUAAUUGAACCAUGUUGAAAGAGUCAAAAUGCAUGAACAUUGUUGAUGUCUCUUUGUCUAUUUACUUUCUUAAUCAAAUAUCCCUAAACAAACAAAUAAAAUAUUAUUUUAUACUUUGCAUACAAAUCACAAUCUUGAAUUUAUGUUAUUUGCCAUUUUCUUGCUAAUUUUUCUCUAAAACAACUAAACCUCACAAGUGUAAUUGUUUAAAACCAUUUCACUCUACUAAUAAAGCAUAAUUAAAUUUCAAGCUAAUACAAAGUUUGAUGUUAAAAAUCUUCUUCAAUAUGAUUUCAACAUUUAAAAACCAACUUCAAAAUAUAUCAUGAGUCAAACUUUAUCCUAUCUUUGGAGAAAGGACAAUUAUAUUACUAUGCCAAUGCUUAAUGCUUGGAGACUUGAUCAUGAUGUAAAGGGUCUUUAUGCUUAGAAAAGAAGAUAGUAAUCACAACUUCCAAGUCUUAUGAUAGGCUUAAAUUGAGAAGCUUCUCUUAAUUGGCUAUAUACUAAGUAAAAUCAGCUAGAAAGUUGUGGGAGGAAAAGAUGACAUGGAAUAUAUUUUUUUUCCUAUGAGACAUGAGAAGUAUUGUUUUUUCAUAAAUUUUACAAACUAUGUCAAAAAUCACUACAAACAUCCAUAACACAAUUAAAAAAGAAAGAAAGAUAUAGGUACCUUAUUUAAAUUUAGAAUAAAGAGAAAUAAUAAUAAUAGUAAUAAUAAUAAAAGGGGAAUGAUAAAGCAACCCACUCUAUCUUAACCAUCAUUAUACCAUUGCAGCUUCCAUUCUUGUUCCAAGCCAUUUCUCAUUCUCAAUCAUUGUUAAGGAUGGAGGCAGGAGGUUUGAAAUGUCUGGAAUUGGAGCAACAAUUGGAAACAGGAGAAUGGCUAGGAAUGGGGAUGGGGUUCAAAGGAUAUAAUGAUGGUUUAAAUAUGUGGGUUGAUUUAGUAAAAAUUUGGGUGACUUUAUCAUUUCCCUAAUAAAAUAAUUAGUUAAUGUAUGAUUGGUUAACUAAGAUUUUUUUUUUGAUUAUUACAAAUCUCUAUCUCAUUAAUCUGUCGAUAGUUCAAUUAUAUUGUUAGUGAUAUAUAUAUAUACACACACAGAGAUAUAUGUGUAUAUAUAUAUAUAUAUAUAUAUGAAAAUUACGGACAUAUUUAGCUCAUCGUAUUUCGUAGUUGCCUGGCACUACGAAUACUAAAAGAUGUUAUAUAAUUAAUCGUAUACAUAUCUACGUAAGUUCCUUGAUUAUAUGCAAUACAUUUGUUCGAGGCUUUUCCACGUUCCCGCCCGUAAGCCCUAAUCUCGCACAUGCGUCAAGUCAUCGCCUGCCCCCGUUCCCAUUUCCGACCGAAAUUUGUCCGAGAUUUGCAGGAAUUUCGGGAUUUGUGGCCUCCGACUCGGAAGACCCGAAAGUGCCCUUUCUACUGAGUUCAGCAUAAUGUCAGGGCAGCGCGUGACGAGCAAACCGCACCAAACCCUAAAUCUCCUCAAUGUUCGACAGGAUCAGCUCCUGGAAGAGCUUCGCACAGUUGAAAAGCAGGUAAAAGGAGUUUGUCACGUCGGGCCAAGUUUGUCAAAGGCUGUGUUUGUCCACUGAUCACGUAGUGCAUCUCUGUUUAAUCGUUUUAUGACAUAGCAAUUGAGGAUGUUUAAAUGUGUUCAUGUUCCUUGACGCUAGUUGCGUUACUUUCAUUGUGCCUGCUGAUGGCCUGGACUUGUGAUCGAUAAUGAGACGACGAAAUUCGCCUUGCGAUGUGUAGUUGUACGAUUUGGAGACCACAUAUCUGCACGACUCAAGCCAGUGUGGUAACGUGCUGAAAGGUUUCGAGGGUUUUCUUUCGUCGAUCAAAGGUUCUGGCAAGUAAGUGAAGUUCUCCAGAUUUUGUGCAUUGCAGUGUACGGAGUAAUGUUACAUUACAGUUUGAGAGCUUGGUUGAAUCACUGACCGGCAACUUGUCGAGGGUUCAGGGAAGUUGGGAGAGGGUUGCGAGAUAUGGAAUUUUCAUUUCGACGUACUCUCUGGUUUUCAUUUUGAUUGGUUGCGUGUAGUAUGAACUCAUCACCGUUUCCAUCCGUUUUGUAAUCGUGAAUUGACGUGUUGGUCUCUCAUAUUCUUUAUACUUUUCAAAAGAAGUAGAUCAAAUGCUGAUGGGUCGUAUUAGACGUUAAACCGUGGAAUUUGAAUGUUCUGUUUGUAAGCUUGAAGCGGCCGCGAAAAUUUCAACCUGAAGAUCGUCUCUUCUCUUUAUCAUCAGUGACUUCGCCCGUGGUAAUUUACUCAAACUCUUCUGUUAUUCGAUCAGUUGCGUUUUGAAAUACAAGCAGAACCGUCGAUUACUACGGAAAUCAUUCAUGUGCUAAUGAGGUGAUGCAUAAAACUGUCAGCCUACUUACGGAAUUUCCAAUUCUGCUAAUCCACUUAUUUUCCUCCAUUUUUGUCAAGGUAAUGGUUUGCAUCUCACUUUGAGCUUGAAAAUAAUCUGGCUGCUUUUAACCAUGUGGUGCUUUAAGAUUUGGACUAGAAUUGAUGUAGAAGCUUAUUUUCCUGCAGCUAGAUCCGAGUCAUUACACCUCUACGGCACAAUGCCAGGGACCUGGUGACGCGUUUUGGCGAUUAACCUAUUUGUGGAUUCCCUCUGGUCCAGGUGGAGGAGCUAUCUGGAGGGGGCCGUGAUGCAGGUAUGCUAAAACAGUGCAAUAGAGGCUUUUGUUAUGUACUGAUUGGUCUCCCAAUUAUGAAAGAUGACCUUGAAAGGUUUAUUCGCUAUUCGUCGCUUUUGUACUCAAUGUCACUUGUGUUUGUAGAUGGAAAGAUAGACGGCAGUUUGCAUGGGCGCACUAAGACAAAUGGAUUGUUCGUAAACGGACCGUAAGCACUGCCUCUUGAGACUUUGAAAUGCUCUCUUGAAAGCACUUCCUGGUUCAAGUUUUGCUUUCUUUUCAUGCGACAGGAAUUUAGAUUGUUCACAGUGAAUCAUUUAAUCUCUUGUGGAACCAUUCCUUUCAGUUCUGUGUCUUGUCAUUCUUUUGCAGAGAAUACUGUGAUUCUAAUGUAGUUCACGCCAUAGCUCACUUGGAACUAUCGUCUUGAGUUUCACGGCUUAACAAUGAUUAUGCCAUUAUUCUGCAGUGGAAAGCAGAAGCGUGGUCGAACUGGACCAAGAGAAGGCAAGAGGAUCAAGCAAGUUACUGAUCAUGGACAAGACGAAGAGGAUGACAUUGACGGCUUCCUUAAAUAGGAGAGCUUAAAAUAUUCGGUGACGGGUAAAGAAAGUGGGUUCAUUUUUCUACCACCAGCUUACUUCAUACUACUCUAGAAACCAUAUUCAACAAUCAAAACAUUUUCUUUGAGAGGGGGGAUUCUCUCGGAUUCGGGUUUGGGAGGGGACUGUAUAUCCUAACUAGCUGAAGAUAGUGGAUACAGUUGUUUUAGACCAAAGCUUCUGAUCAUCCAUUACAACAUUCGCACAUAAUUUUUCUUGUUCACUCAAGUGAGCAAAUGUCUGCUGUACAUAACUCCUUCAAAUGGUGAAAUCUGCAUUUAGCGUGAACUGCACUUAGUUUUUCCUGGUUUGUUACAGCACUUUUCAUUGUCUUUAGAAUAAAAAGAUGACAAAUCCUUUUUUCUUUUUUUUUCUUUUUUUUUUCCUCAACGACCGUUCAAAGUCUGGUUCCAAUUUGGGCUGUAGCAAUUUUCUAGAAUGUGAUCUGAUUCAAGGAUUCCCGUAACAUAGGGUUCUCAGAAUCUCCAGUCUACGAGAGUAGCCUCUAAUCACCACAAGCUUGGGCAAACACGACCAAAAGCAAUCUAAAGUGACUAGACAGGCGUUGUUAUAGAAAGUCUGACGUGGAACUUCACCUAGAAUGAGAUCUUCAUCCAACGAGAACGAAUUUAGUUGCAGAAGUGAUCUGAGGAAAUAUGGGGAUUGAUUGUGCAUGGCAUGGUUGACCAAAUCUUUUCAUAAUUCGUAACUGCCCCAAUCUACAAACUUGUAUGCACCUAGACUAUGAUAUUAGUCAACUUUGUAGCAUUUGCCCUGUGACCUUUCAAUGAGUCUUAGUCAAUCCAAGUGCUUUGCUCAUGCUUUACACGUUGAAGUAGUAGUUCUUGUUUGUAUGUCAUGACAAAUAUCAAUAAACAAAUAAAUAUCCAGAUUUACAAGGUUCCAAUUGUCAUCCACUUUGAAGAUUCUUUUUGAGGGUUCUUAUAUAACUUUUUAGUAUAACAAAAUGUAAUACUGUUAUCUAGUCAAUGGGUGUUUUGCUCAAUUACUAUUUGAUCUUUCAGCCAUAUGGAUAGGACAAGUUGCAAUUAUAGAAGAAUAUUAAAAAAAAUGAUGAGAUUCAAAAGUAUCACUAUAACAGGACUAUUUUGUGAAUUUUUCGUCUCAUUAUUUAAUAAUGUUUUGUCAUCUUGUGUCUUUUGAUUGGUAUAAAUCUAGGUAAUUGGGUUGAAAUCGAAAUAUGUAAUGAAUUAUAUUUAUUUAAAAUAUUUAAAAGUAAAUGAUAAAAUAAAUAGGUCUUAUAUAUAUAUAUAUAUAUAUAUAUAUGUAUUUCUAUGCUUUGAAUAAAAAUAUUCAUAAUAACCAGAUAUUAAUAUUGAACAAAGAUGAAUGAAUAUUGACAAUUAAUAAAUUAUAAUAUAUAUAUAUAUAUAUAUAUAUAUAUAGUAUUGCUAAUGCCAUCAUAGUUCUUGCUACUACCACCACAAUCUUCUAUCCACUUAACAUAUUUGUUUAGUUUUGUUAUUCCAAUUAAAAUUGUUGUUAAUAUAUAUAUUGGGUUAAGUUGAAACAUACAUUUAAUUUUAAUAAGAAUAUCUUUAAAAAUUAGUUGUAGUGGCAAUGACAAUAACUAUGGUGAUAUGUGGUGGAUGACAAACUAUGGUGGCAAUAGCAAAAAAAAGUGGUGGCAUUAGAAACACCGUAUUUAUAUAUAUAUAUAUAUAUAUAUAUAUAUAUGGUUAUCAAAAAUAUACUUUAAAAAGUGAAGUUUAGGAGGAAUAAAAAUUGUAAAAUCAUGUAUAUUAGGGUCCUAAAUAAAUUUUUAAAUAAAAUAAAAUUUCCUGCCUUAUUUAGUAACCCAAAAAAUAUUUAAAAUAUUUGGCUACUUAAAUAGUCUAAAUUCCAGGAAUAAUAAUUGCCAUACAAAUGAUAUACUUUCUUAAAACACUUAGCCAAAUUGAAUUAAAAAAUAAAAAAUAAAAAUAAAGUUGUGAAAGUAAGUCAUCAACAGGUUCAAAUCAAGGUUCACAUGAGAAACAUGAAAUGGGGCCUCAACUACUUCCACAAUUUGCAACUAAUGACUUGUUCUCCAAUCUCUACAAGGAGAAGCACGUUUUGCCUCCACAUCCCACCCAUCACACCUAUUUCAUAUUUCUUAGGCAGCAAGUGGACACAGGGCGGCGCCCCCACUGUAGAUAAAAACCCACUCAGCGGUUUUCAUCAGUGAAUCCAAUUUGGGGGUAUGUAGUGAUAUCCACCAAAAUGGUCAUGAUUUUUCAUAACUGUUUGAGAAUAAAUGAAACGGUUAACUGGUUGAUAAGAAAAACAGGGAACUGGCCACAGUUUGUCUGCUCAUCAGCUGUGUGGCCAGAAAAAAGAACGGCAAAGUUGCAAAGCGGUGUGUUUGAGCCGUUGUACCUGCCGAAGUGAAGGGGUUUGGAUUGUUAGAACGGUUCAAUAGCACCUGUCCACACUACACAACGCCUCUUCACCACCCAUCUAAACAUGUUCAUCACUUUACGUAAAACAUUCAUGCGGUUCUAUGAGAUUCAACUCCAUAGAACCCACAGAAAGUCUAUCACUCUCUCUUGCAAAACUCCACAAAGAGAGUUUCUCCCGGACAAUCUGGUAACAAAAAUUUGCUCUGUAGUUGAAUCUCCAUGGAAACAUCGUGGUCGAAACUCACGAAUGUUAUGGCCACACACAGCACUUGCAGGUUUCACAUAGACGAACGAGCUAGAUUAGGAGUGUGUGAGGCUGAUUUUUGAAGAGGAAACUUGCAGGCAAGAGCAUAUUGUGCAAUAUGAAUACUCCUCCUGAUCAUGUUUCAGCUGACCGAAAUUAAAUUUAAUGUCAAGUCGAUGGUAAAACAAUCUCAAAUCUUAGCUAUGGUGUUUUCAGUCUAGACUUAUACACGAUGCUGUGUUGCUUAGUUGUUGGAUGAAGACCAUUGACAUCUAACUUUGUGUCAAUUUCUGCACGUUAUAUUUACAACAAGCAAGUGAGGAAUUGAUACAGUAGUGCCCACAUCAGAAGCAAAUGGUGCACGUAUCAGGAGGCCCAGAGCGGCCAGUCAGUCCGGCUUGCAACUCCAAAUCGGGUGUAAGUCGUAAUUUAGCCAGAAUUUAAUCUGUUUGGAAGUUUCGCAAAAUAAGCUUUAACACGGACAUUCUUGCAUGGAUGUGGAGUAAUGACUUCAUGAUGAUCCCAUGACCGCUAGAGACGCUGCUCGCAAAGAAUUCUGCGACGGGCUUACAAUAUUGUCCAUUUGGUUAGAUUCUACAGGAGGGAAGAAAGUGCAUCUGUAAGGUAUGCACCUGCGGCUUCCACAAAUGCCCCCAGAAGCACACAUCCGUCUUCACCAAAUUCGGCGACAAGACAAUUUCAGAAUAUUGCGCCAAGUACCCACAAUGGCCAGUCCCGCAGAAAUUCAUCCGCAAGGUGCCCCCAUCCGAGCACGCCAACCUCAGAAUGGCCUCGGAGACGACCUACAGCGACGACUUCGUCAAGCACCCAUUCGGCCCCGCGGCCUCACGCCGCCCUACCCAACUAACCACCCAAACUGGUGUACUGCAAAAGGAAACGACCUACAAUACCUCCUACUGGGAUAAAUCGAAGCAAAUGCAACCCAGAGUGAAAAUGCAACCGGAGAAGCACGGAUCCGGGGCCAAAUUCUCCGGCCAGUCGCUCUACUCAGUAGAAUUCACCAACCCCGGCCGACAACCCCCUAGUAAAGUGGUCCGUCACGGCGACAGCCUUGGCUCACACGGUGCCAAAUUCGACUCCGACUCCACAUAUCACGAUGAUUACAGGCAAUGGAAAAUCCCAGCCAAGCACCUUCAUAGGAGGCCGGACAACCCACAGCCUACAGGUAAGAUCGAAGGCCCGACAACGUAUCAAGCCGACUACCAGAACCGCAAAAUCCCCAACCAAUGCCCUGUUUCUGUCGGCAGCAAGCCCUCGAUCGUUUGCGGCGAUCACAUGUGCUACUGAGUCCACUCCAUCGCUGUGCGUGGAUCACUAACCCAGACUCUAUUCCGCGAAUUCCCCGCCUGUGAUCGAUCGAUCGAUCAAUGGAAUAAGGCCAAAGUGCUGCAGAACACAUGACUUGCCUUAAAACAGACAACUUUAGAAUAUCUACCAACUUUCAUAAUCUUCAGAUUACGUUGAUUUAUUUACGUAGAUUCCUCGUUUUUAUUGAAGAUACGCUGACCGGGCGUGAUGUAUUGAUAUUCGAUAGGUAGUCAAAUAAAUAUGCUAAAACCAAAGAAUUUUGAUAAAGCCAUAAUAUUAACAAGAUUUUAAAAAUAUAUAGAUUAAUGAGACGAAAGACAAUUUCAUAUUUACUAGUACCUAUAUCAAUUAUAGGCUUAGGAGUCUUUUGUUAAUUAUUUUUAAAAGAGUAUUUUUAAGAAAAAUAUAUUUUUUUUACAUAAGUUUUUUUAAUGUAUUAAUUUUAUUUUUUUAAAAUAAAAAAUACAUUCUUU
rnacentral:lncRNA from 1 species